rnacentral:tRNA from 2 species
GGUAAGAUGGCUGAGUAAGCGGUGGGUUGUAGCCCCAUACACAGAGGUUUAAAGUCCUCUUCUUACCA